UACGUAGGGUGCGAGCGUUAAUCGGAAUUACUGGGCGUAAAGCGUGCGCAGGCGGCUUUGCAAGACAGAUGUGAAAUCCCCGGGCUCAACCUGGGAACUGCAUUUGUGACUGCAAGGCUAGAGUACGGCAGAGGGGGAUGGAAUUCCGCGUGUAGCAGUGAAAUGCGUAGAUAUGCGGAGGAACACCAAUGGCGAAGGCAUUCCCCUGGGCCUGUACUGACGCUCAUGCACGAAAGCGUGGGGAGCAAACAGG
rnacentral:rRNA from 1 species